UCUUCGAAUCCAUUUAUUGAUGCUUCUAGUAUUAUUUCCAAUUGUAGGCGAUGACAUUUCAUGUUUUGGUAUAGCGCCGUCAGCAGAACCGAUAGAUAACAUUGUUUUGCUAUAUCAAUUCAUAUACCAAAAAUUUAUCAAUUUGCUUACGUAAUGUUUUCUAUUAGUUGGACCAGCAUUUAGUUAUAGGCCUAUUAAAAUCUCAUCAACUGAAAGAUUUCCAAUUAGUCAAACUGUGACUAAACUGCCUUUUUGGCCCUAGGUAUUUUUGCACUUUACAAUAAUUGUUACACACUUCGUAUUGCUUAACUUGCAGAUUCCAUGUUUUUAUUGGCUAAAAUAAAUUGGUGUGUACGACAAAUCAUUAAAAUUUGAGACUCUUUGCCAAAUAUUAUGCCAGGCUAUUUCGCUUACGAUGUCUUACCCACUUGUGUGUAAGAUCUCUGUAUCUCCUUGUAUUAGUUGAAAAUUACGCAUCUUCAUACCAAAUAUUUUAAGUUAGAAUGUAACAGGAAGGUAAGUAAGUAUAGAUGAUCAUUUGUAAAAUGGAUAGUUUUCAGUUUUAUCCUUUCCUUAAUACAAUGCUAUUAUUCAAAUACAUGUGGAAUUUGUCUAACGCCCAAAAUUCGAUUUUGAUUAACAUAUGUUUU